GACGAACGCUGGCGGCGUGCCUAAUACAUGCAAGUCGAGCGGAACUGGGGGAGCUUGCUCCUUCCAGUUUAGCGGCGGACGGGUGAGUAACACGUGGGCAACCUGCCCUGCAGAUCGGGAUAACUCCGGGAAACCGGUGCUAAUACCGAAUAGUUUGGCGCCUCUCCUGAGGCGCUACGGAAAGACGGUUUCGGCUGUCACUGCAGGAUGGGCCCGCGGCGCAUUAGCUAGUUGGGGGGGUAACGGCCCACCAAGGCGACGAUGCGUAGCCGACGUGGGAGGGUGGCCGGCCACACUGGGACUGGGACAAGGCGCAGACGCCUACGGGGGGCAGCAGUAGGGAAUCUUCCGAAAUGGACGCAAGUCUGACGGGGCAACGCCGCGUGAGUGACGAAGGUUUUCGGAUCGUAAAACUCUGUUGUGAGGGAAGAACACGUACCAACUAACUAUUGGUACCUUGACGGUACCUCACCAGAAAGCCACGGCUAACUACGUGCCAGCAGCCGCCGCGG
rnacentral:rRNA from 1 species